UUUCCUGCUCCUCUUUCUCUUUUUUUCUCUCUCUCCCUCACUCCCUCCAGGUGGAGUGCCGGUUACAGAUGGAGGCACAACGUAUCAGUCUGUGUCAGAUACACACUGCUCAGCUGGAACUGCUGCAAGAGAGCCUGCACACACACACGAACACACACCCACAUGCACAAGCGCACACACAGACGCAGGAGACACUGGAGUGGCUGCGAGUGCAAAGCACAGAUGAUCCAAAGUCCUCAAAAUAUCAGAGAUUUAUGGACGAGAUGACAGAAGACUGCAAUCACCUGAUUCAGUCCUUCUCGCGGGUGCUGGGGGUGGAGGUGGUGGAGUCUCUCCAGUGCCGUGAAGACCCUGUGGAGCCCAGGGAUCUCACUCACCAGAGACUGGAAACAUGCCACCUCAGAGAGCUCUUAGUAGAGGCCAGAGAGUUGUACAUGAGGCUGCAGCAGUUGAACCAGUGUGUAUUAUCCUCACACCGGCGCCUCAUGGAGCUGCAGACGUCACUGAAUACCAGCACAGACAAGGUAACACACACUCACAAGCACACAUGUACACAUUCAAGUAGACAAUUGUGUGUUAAAUGCGUGUGUGUGUGUGUGUGUGUGUGUGUGUGUGUGUGUGUGUGA
ensembl:lncRNA